GACGAACGCUGGCGGCGCGCUUAACACAUGCAAGUCGAGCGAAGCGGCGGCCGGGUGAGUAACACGUGAGUAACCUGCCUUAGACAUUGGGAUAGCCUCGGGAAACCGGGAUUAAUACCAAAUAGGCUAAGAUGGACUCGCGUCCCAUUAGAUAGUUGGUGAGUUAACGGCACAACAAGGCGACGCUGGGUAGCCGGCCUGAGACGGUGAACGGCUACAUUGGAACUGAGAGACGGUCCAAACUCUACGGGAGGCAGCAGUGGGGAAUAUUGCACAAGGGAGGGAACUCUGAUGCAGCGACGCCGCGUGAACGAAGAAGGCUUUCGAGUCGUAAAGUUCUUUUAUAUGGGAAGCGGUACCAUAAGAAAGAGCCCCGGCUAACUACGUGCCAGCAGCCGCGGUAAUAC
rnacentral:rRNA from 1 species